rnacentral:rRNA from 1 species
AUACGGAGGAUGCAAGCGUUAUCCGGAUUUAUUAGGUUUAAAGGGUGUGUAGGCGGGAGUCUAAGUCAGUGGUGAAAUCUCACAGCUUAACUGUGAAACUGCCAUUGAUACUGGAUUUCUUGAGUAUAGUUGAGGUAGGCGGAAUGUGUAAUGUAGCGGUGAAAUGCUUAGAUAUUACACAGAACACCGAUUGCGAAGGCAGCUUACUAAGCUAUUACUGACGCUGAUGCACGAAAGCGUGGGGAGCGAACAGGAUUAGAAACCCUAGUAGUCC